UGAAUACUACAGCAUGGAAUAACAAAAUUGAACAAGUCAGAAUUCUGUUCUUUUUUCUUAUUUUGGCUUAGUUACGAUUAAUAGGAGUAGCUUGGAGGCAUUUGUAUUCAGAUGUCAGAGGUGAAAUUCUUAGAUUUUCUGGAGACAAACAACUGCGAAAGCAUUUGCCUAAAAUACUUCCAUUAAUCAAGAACGAAAGUUAAGGGAGUGAAGACGAUCAGAUACCGUCGUAAUCUUAACCAUAAACUAUGCCGACUAGGUUUUGGAUGAAACAUUUUUAAAUAAGAAAAUUCCUUUCGGGGAAAUUUCUUAGAUUGCUUCCUUCAGUACCUUAUGAGAAAUCAAAGUCUUUGGGUUCUGGGGCGAGUAUUCGCGCAAGCGAGAAAGUUAAAAGAAUUGACGGAAGGGCACCACCAGGCGUGGAGCUUGCGGCUUAAUUUGACUCAACACGGGGAAACUCACUAGUUUAAGACAAGAGUAGGAUUGACAGAUUAAUAGCUCUUUCUUGAUUUCUUGGAUGGUGAUGCAUGGCCGUUUUUAGUUCGUGAAUAUGAUUUGUCUGGUUAAUUCCGAUAACGAACGAGAUCUUAACCU
rnacentral:rRNA from 1 species